AGGGAACUAGUCCAAAACAAGACCUUUGAUUUCGACUCAAAAAAUUAUGGUUUAAUUCCAUAGUCCCCUA
rnacentral:tRNA from 1 species